UCUCCGUAGGUGAACCUGCGGAGGGAUCGUUACUGAGUGAGGGCUCACGCCCGACCUCCAACCCUGUGUGAACACAUCUUGUUGCCUCGGGGGCGACCUGUGCCGGCCGCUCGCGGCCGCCCGGGGCCCCCGGCGGACCCCCCAACGCUGCAUCUUUGCGUCCGAGUCUGAUUUGAAUCAAUCAAAACUUUCAACAACGGAUCUCUUGGUUCUGGCAUCGAUGAAGAACGCAGC
rnacentral:misc_RNA from 1 species